AACGAACGCUGGCGGCAGGCCUAACACAUGCAAGUCGAACGCUGCAGCAAUACAGAGUGGCAGACGGGUGAGUAACGCGUGGGAACGUGCCCUUUGGUUCGGAAUAACCCAGGGAAACUUGGGCUAAUACCGGAUACGUCCGUAAGGAGAAAGAUUUAUCGCCAAAGGAUCGGCCCGCGUCGGAUUAGCUAGUUGGUGAGGUAAAGGCUCACCAAGGCGACGAUCCGUAGCUGGUCNGAGAGGAUGACCAGCCACACUGGGACUGAGACACGGCCCAGACUCCUACGGGAGGCAGCAGUGAGGAAUAUUGGACAAUGGGCGCAAGCCUGAUCCAGCCAUGCCGCGUGAGUGAUGAAGGCCUUAGGUUGUAAAGCUCUUUACCCGGGAAGAUAAUGACGAUACCGGAGAAUAAGCCCGGCUAACUUCGUGCCAGCAGCCGCAGUAAC
rnacentral:rRNA from 1 species